UACGUAGGGUGCGAGCGUUGUCCGGAAUUAUUGGGCGUAAAGGGCUCGUAGGCGGUCUGUUGCGUCGGGAGUGAAAACUCAGGGCUUAACCCUGAGCCUGCUUCCGAUACGGGCAGACUAGAGGUAUGCAGGGGAGAACGGAAUUCCUGGUGUAGCGGUGAAAUGCGCAGAUAUCGGGAGGAACACCAGUAGCGAAGGCGGACUCGCUGGGCCAUUCCGUGACGCUGAGA
rnacentral:rRNA from 1 species